UUGUAAAACGAGCCUAUUUUUACACAGUUCCACUGUACACUGAAGUUGACUGUUUGAAAUACACCUCCACUAUAUCUACCAUUUUGCCAUUCAACUGAAUCAAGAUUUCCAUCUUCUUGAUCGAAUUUCACAUCUGGGUCGCUGCUUUUAGCUGAAAAGGGAGAAAAGCUUUGAUAUUCUUGCACAAAUGGUGGCUUCUUGUUUGGCCUCCCCACUGUGUACAUGGCUAGUAGCAGCUUGCAUGUCUGUAUCCAGCAGCGAAAAAGACCAAUUUUGGAAGACGAGUUCGAAUUUUCAGUCUUUGGGUAGGAGAAGAAAAUCGAUUACAAAGUGCAACAGUGGGAGCUUGGUGAAUGGUUCUGGAAUGAACAGUUGUUGGAAUACUUGUUUUGGUUUUGCGCCAUGUGAGGAGUAUUAUAAAUCCCAAGGGUUAUCUGCUUCUUUUUCUUCUUUAUUUGCCGAAAAUCCCUUUUCCGUUUUUGGGUUCAAGCAGGUUCCCUUGAAUCGAAGGCAGAGGAGGAUGCGAGCUGCUGCUCAUUCUGGCAAACUCAUGGCUGUGGCUGUGCAACCUGCAAAGGAUGCCACGGCAAAGAAGAAACCUCUUAUGAAGAACAGGAGAGUUGUUGUGACUGGAGUUGGUGUAGUAUCACCAAUUGGUCAUGAUCCAGACACGUUUUACAGUAAUCUUCUUGAAGGCAUCAGUGGCAUAAGUCAGAUCGAGGCAUUUGACUGUUCUGAAUUUCCCAGUAGAAUUGCUGGGGAAAUCAAGAAAUUUUCGACUGAUGGAUGGGUUGCACCCAAACUUUCAAAAAGAGCAGAUAAGUUCAUGCUCUAUAUGCUUACUGCUGGAAAGAAAGCUUUGGCAGAUGGUGGGAUCACAGAAGAUUUAUUGCAGGACUUAGAUAAGGCUAGAUGUGGCGUUCUAAUUGGCUCUGCCCUUGGGGGGAUGAAGGUCUUCCAUGAUGGCAUUGAGGCUUUACAGGUGUCGUACAAGAAACUGAAUCCUUUCUGUGUACCUUUUGCAACAUCCAAUAUGGGAGCUGCCAUGCUUGCAAUAGAUUUGGGUUGGAUGGGUCCAAGCUACUCAAUCUCCACGGCAUGCGCUACAAGUAACUUCUGUAUAUUAAGUGCUGCAAAUCACAUAAUUAGAGGUGAAACAGAUAUGAUGCUUUGUGGAGGGUCAGACUCGGCAAUUAUUCCUAUAGGCUUGGGAGGUUUCACUGCUUGUGGAGCCCUGUCGCAGAGGAACAGUGAUCCAACAAAGGCUUCACGCCCUUGGGAUAUGGACCGUGAUGGUUUUGUGAUUGGGGAAGGAUCGGGUGUCUUACUCUUAGAAGAACUCGAACAUGCAAAGAAGAGAAAGGCUAAAAUAUAUGCCGAGUUUUUGGGUGGAAGCUUCACUUCUGAUGCUUAUCACAUGAUAGAGCCACAUCCAGAAGGAAGUGGAGUUGUUCUGUGCAUGGAAAAGGCCUUGGCUCAAUCUGGGGUGAAGCGUGAAGAUGUCAACUAUAUAAAUGCUCAUGCUGCAUCAACCCCAGCUGGUGACCUGAACGAAUACCAGGCCAUUCUUCAUUGUUUUGGGGAGAACCCUGAACUUAAAAUAAAUUCAACAAAGUCCAUGACUGGUCACCUCCUUGGAGCUGCUGGUUCUGUGGAAGCCAUCGCAACAGUUAAGGCUUUUAGUUAUUGAAUUGGGCAUUAAGUCAUUAGUAGAGGAUAGUUCAUCUAUACAGUGUAGAAACAACGGAAAAAGAUACAGAUACACAUGCUCAAACUAUGAUGCAGUAACUUUUAAACCAAUAUCUUAAACUAUCUGAAGGUCAAUCCAAAUUUUACGAAAGCUAUACAGACAGGCUGGAUCCAUCCAAACAUCAAUCUUGAGAACCCUGACAAAGGCUUGGAUAUGAAUGUGUUGGUGGGCUCUAAGAAGGAGCGUCUGGAUAUCAAGGUUGCGCUCUCCAACUCAUUUGGCUUUGGAGGACACAACUCGUCUAUUCUAUUUGCACCUUACAAUAAUAAUGUCUAACAUUUACAAAUAUCAAGCUUAAAGAAUGUAAUGUUAUAUCCACGAGGGAGGCACUCGUGGUUGUGUUUAUUUUCAUCGAGGUGCUCCUUGCUAGAUUUCUGCAUGCCAAUGGAAGCCAAAAAACUAACUACUAUUUAUCUUCAGAAUCGAAAGCAGGCAUGUUGAGGAAUUGAUGUGCAUUCACUGGGCAUUUGAGGAUUGUUUCUCAAAAGUAUUUUUUGCAUCA